AAUUUUGGACGAUGGGGGAAACCCUGAUCCAGCCAUCCCGCGUGUAUGAUGAAGGCCUUCGGGUUGUAAAGUACUUUUCGCAUAGAAGAAAAGGUAUCUUCUAAUACGAGAUACUUCUGACUGUCUCUGCAGAAUAAGCACCGGCUAACCACGUGCCAGCAGCCGCGGUAAUACGUAGGGUGCAAGCGUUAAUCGGAAGUACUGUGUGUAAAGCGUGUGUAGGCGGUUCGGAAAGAAAGAUGUGAAAUCACAGGGCUCAACCUUGGAACUGCAGUUUUAACUGCCGAGCUAGAGUAUGUCAGAGGGGGGUAGAAUACCACGUGUAGCAGUGAAAUGCGUAGAUAUGUGGAGGAAUACCGAUGGCGAAGGCAGCCCCCUGGGAUAAUACUGACGCUCAGACACGAAAGCGUGGGGAGCAAACA
rnacentral:rRNA from 1 species